rnacentral:rRNA from 1 species
ACGAACGCUGGCGGCGUGCCUAAUACAUGCAAGUAGAGCGCUGAAGAGAGGAGCUUGCUCUUCUUGGAUGAGUUGCGAACGGGUGAGUAACGCGUAGGUAACCUGCCUUGUAGCGGGGGAUAACUAUUGGAAACGAUAGCUAAUACCGCAUAACAAUGGAUGACACAUGUCAUUUAUUUGAAAGGGGCAAUUGCUCCACUACAAGAUGGACCUGCGUUGUAUUAGCUAGUAGGUGAGGUAACGGCUCACCUAGGCGACGAUACAUAGCCGACCUGAGAGGGUGAUCGGCCACACUGGGACUGAGACACGGCCCAGACUCCUACGGGAGGCAGCAGUAGGGAAUCUUCGGCAAUGGGGGCAACCCUGACCGAGCAACGCCGCGUGAGUGAAGAAGGUUUUCGGAUCGUAAAGCUCUGUUGUAAGUCAAGAACGAGUGUGAGAGUGGAAAGUUUACACUGUGACGGUAGCUUAACAGAAAGGGACGGCUAACUACGUG